rnacentral:rRNA from 1 species
GAGUNCAGAAGGGGAGAGUGGAAUUCCAUGUGUAGCGGUGAAAUGCGUAGAUAUAUGGAGGANCACCGGUGGCGAAAGCGGCUCUNUGGUCUGUCACUGACGCUGAGGCUCGAAAGCGUGGGUAGCGAACAGGAUUAGAUACCCUGGUAGUCCACGCCGUAAACGAUGAGUGCUAGGUGUUAGGUCCUUUCCGGGACUUAGUGCCGCAGCUAACGCAAUAAGCACUCCGCCUGGGGAGUACGACCGCAAGGUUGAAACUCAAAGGAAUUGACGGGGGCCCGCACAAGCGGUGGAGCAUGUGGUUUAAUUCGAAGCAACGCGAAGAACCCUACCAGGUCUUGACAUCCCGAUGCCCGCUCUAGAGAUAGAGUUUUUCUUCGGAACAUCGGAGACAGGUGGUGCAUGGUUGUCGUCAGCUCGUGUCGUGAGAUGUUGGGUUAAGUCCCGCAACGAGCGCAACCCUUAUUGUUAGUUGCCAUCAUUGAGUUGGGCACUCUAGCGAGACUGCCGGUAAUAAACCGGAGGAAGGUGGGGAUGACGUCAAAUCAUCAUGCCCCUUAUGACCUGGGCUACACACGUGCUACAAUGGUUGGUACAACGAGUCGCAAGCCGGUGACGGCAAGCUAAUCUCUGAAAGCCAAUCUCAGUUCGGAUUGUAGGCUGCAACUCGCCUACAUGAAGUCGGAAUCGCUAGUAAUCGCGGAUCAGCACGCCGCGGUGAAUACGUUCCCGGGCCUUGUACACACCGCCCGUCACACCACGAGAGUUUGUAACACCCAAAGUCGGUGAGGUAACCAUAUA